GUGGUGGCUCAGUGGUAGAGCACUCGCCUAGCAUGUGUGAGGUAUUGGGUUCGAUUCUCAGCACCACA
rnacentral:tRNA from 1 species